GCAAACUUGGUCAUUUAGAGGAAGUAAAAGUCGUAACAAGGUAACCGUAGGUGAACCUGCGGUUGGAUCAUUACGAAAAUUUUUGGUUUUCAAAACCAAAUACCUUUGUGUGCAACUAUAUUUUUAUCGUCCCUGGUGAUUGCUGCAUCCUUGGAUGUGUUUAUCCCCUUCCGCCCCCCUUUGGGGGGAUGGUGCGGUGAAGCAACCAAGGAAACGCGGAUCACCAAAGGGCUGCAUCUCCGGAGAGGAGGAGCAUAUUUUCCCCUCCGAAUGCAUCCAAACAAACCUCAUGCCAAAUACGACUGAUAAUUCUUUCAUUUUCGAUGAAAAUUGAAAAAAAGAAAAUAAAAAACAACUUUUGACAACGGAUCUCUUGGCUCUCGCAUCGAUGAAGAACGCAGC
rnacentral:misc_RNA from 1 species